CCUACGGGUGGCAGCAGUGAGGAAUAUUGGUCAAUGGGCGCGAGCCUGAACCAGCCAAGCCGCGUGAGGGAAGAAGGUACUGCGUAUUGUAAACCUCUUUUGUCAGGGAACAAAGGCGGGGACUAGUCCCUGGAUGAGGGUACCUGAAGAAAAAGCAUCGGCUAACUCCGUGCCAGCAGCCGCGGUAAUACGGAGGAUGCGAGCGUUAUCCGGAGUUAUUGGGUUUAAAGGGUGCGCAGGGGGCCUGUUAAGUCAGUGGUAAAAGUCUGGGGCUCAACCCCGGCGAGCCGUUGAGACUGGCGGGCUGGAGUUGGGGAGAGGUACGCGGAAUGCGCGGUGUAGCGGUGAAAUGCUUAGAUAUCACGCAGAACCCCGAUUGCGAAGGCAGCGUACCGGCUCCACACUGACGUUGAGGCACGAAAGCGUGGGUAUCGAACAGGAUUAGAUACCCUUGUAGUC
rnacentral:rRNA from 1 species